rnacentral:rRNA from 1 species
GAUGAACGCUGGCGGCGUGCCUAAUACAUGCAAGUCGAGCGAACAGACGAGGAGCUUGCUCCUCUGACGUUAGCGGCGGACGGGUGAGUAACACGUGGAUAACCUACCUAUAAGACUGGGAUAACUUCGGGAAACCGGAGCUAAUACCGGAUAAUAUAUUGAACCGCAUGGUUCAAUAGUGAAAGACGGUUUUGCUGUCACUUAUAGAUGGAUCCGCGCCGCAUUAGCUAGUUGGUAAGGUAACGGCUUACCAAGGCGACGAUGCGUAGCCGACCUGAGAGGGUGAUCGGCCACACUGGAGCUGAGACACGGUCCAGACUCCUACGGGAGGCAGCAGUAGGGAAUCUUCCGCAAUGGGCGAAAGCCUGACGGAGCAACGCCGCGUGAGUGAUGAAGGUCUUCGGAUCGUAAAACUCUGUUAUUAGGGAAGAACAAAUGUGUAAGUAACUAUGCACGUCUUGACGGUACCUGAUCAGAAAGCCACGGCUAACUACGUG